CCUACGGGACGCAGCAGUGAGGAAUAUUGGUCAAUGGGCGGGAGCCUGAACCAGCCAAGUCGCGUGAGGGACGACGGUCCUAUGGAUCGUAAACCUCUUUUGUCGGGGAACAAAGGCGCCCACGGGUGGGCGGAUGAGUGUACCCGAAGAAAAAGCAUCGGCUAACUCCGUGCCAGCAGCCGCGGUAAUACGGAGGAUGCGAGCGUUAUCCGGAUUUAUUGGGUUUAAAGGGUGCGCAGGCGGAGGUGCAAGUCAGCGGUCAAAUUGCGGGGCUCAACCCCGUACUGCUGUUGAAACUGCAUCCC
rnacentral:rRNA from 1 species